UUUUUUUUUUUUUUUUUUUUUUUUUUUUUGCUGCAGAUAGAUGAUCCUCUCAGUCUCUGGCCUGUGGAAGGAAGCCACUGAUUUGGGAAAUGUGUUCUUUUCCAUCUCUGAGGAAAAGGAGGAUCAGAAGCAAUUCAGAUUUACUGGAAACAAACAAAGGCUAUUUUGUGGUCUUGCUACAGGUCGCUGUGAACACUCCCACCCUUUGCCAGUUAGCCUGAAAUAAGCGAUAAGUAGUGUCAACUGAAAAAAAUAAAAAGGCACAACCUAAAAGUUGAGAAUUAUGUUUUAAUUGGUGGUCUUUAUGAGGACUCAAGCUGGGGCCUCGGCAUCUCAGAGAGCUCCGAGGGGCAGCUCCAAAAAGGUAAGGGAGGAGCCAAGAUAUGUAGGGGGGUUUGCAACAAAAAUCUGGUAGUGGGAACAUCAAAUACUACUGUUAAUUCAAGGAAACCAGACCUGGCUAAUUAAUGAAUUUAGUAUUUUUUCUCUGUAUGGGAAGAUGCAAGAGUCUGGGCUCACUGAAGUCAUUCCUUUGACGUGCACUUCAACUAGGUAGGGCCAGGUAAUUAGGGAUUGCUUUUCUCCAAACUGAAUCUCCUCACAGAACACAGCUGGGGGCGGCUGCAGUGGCUGCUCAUUGGGUGGCUGCUUCGUCCUUUGUUUGCUGAUAUGGCAGGUGACAUUCUUGGUCCAUGGUAGACUGAAGGCCUUGGUAAGACACAGGCACAUUCAAGGCUGCGAGGUAAGCCCCACAAAGACUCGGAGACCUGCCACAUGGGUGACAUUUUUAGGGAUCCAAGGAUUUGGGCUUGCUGGGAGAGCCCCUCCAAAGCCAAAGUGGACUGACUGCAUCUCAUACCUCCAAUCACUAAGAAGAAACACAAUGCUUAGCAGGCAUCUUGGAAUGUUCUUCCCCGGGAAUCCUGCCAACCCAUUUUCUGGGUGACGUGGAAGGUGACCUCUUUGAGUGGGACCCAGAGAGGAAAGCAGUCUAGCAGGGAGGGUGGAAGUACAAGAGACCCUGCUGUUUGGUAGUGAGGUGUGGCAAGGCAGGUCUCUAGAGAAUGUAUGACAGGGAAGACACCACACGGCCGGCCCCAGGAGCGUCACAUGGCAUUCUGUGGAAAGGCCACGCCAGCAGCAGCAGCAGAGAAGUAUAGUCACUGGGAAGUGGCUCCUGGCCAGCGUCUCAGCCCUGGUAGAGACCAGCUCUUCAUGGGAUGGCAAGUGACCACAUGACCAUGCCAGGUUCUGUCAGACCCACCAGCUUAGAAGGUUGGGUGGACUCAUCAUAAGGGGAAGUGAGGUACCAGGACUUGGGAGCUGGCAUGAGUGGGGUCAGGAAUAAGAAAGAUGCAGGAGCAGUUGGCUGGACCGGGCAUGAGCCCUUGCUGUUAUUCGGGUCUUUCUCCCUUUGCUCUCACUGAUGGUCCUCUGUGGGGGCAGGAUGGCAUCACUCAGGGACGGCCUUGGGAGACAGCAGGGAGGGGAGAUCCCCCAGGGGACACACAUCUGGGUAGGUCAUCUGGCCACCCACUUUUCAGGGAAAGGAAAUGGCCUGAGAUACGAUUAGAAGCCACGUGACACGUAUGGCCAAACUCAGGGACAGCGGCGAAUGUUCUGGAAAGAGAAAGCCUGGUAGGUGGGAGACAAGGAGGUCUGGGGAAGAGGCCUAUGGAUGGAGUUCUAGGAGCGAGCAGAGUGUAAAGAUCUCCGUGUCGCAUGGCGGUACCCAGCAGGGCGCAUUCACUGUGGUCCACGGAAGAGGUGGGAAAGAACCAGACAGAAUGACUCCGUCAGUUGACACUAGCCAGCCUGUCUUCAGCUGCCCCUGUCUCCACUCCCCAGUGCAGGUAAAACCGUUGGCAUGGUUGCAGAGAUGCCAGCUACCUGUGAGCCCAUUGAUAGGACUUCAUUUACCAAGGUGAUCUAAGUGCUACUGGAUGUGGAAUCUGCCGGCAGUGAAGACCAGGAACACUCAGGACAGCCCAUGUUCAAUGACCUCCUGAGAUGGGGGCACAAAGCUCUGACAUUCACGUCUCCAGUUCCAGAGCUCCCUGGAGGUAGGGGCUCAGAGGCAUCCUUGCUAAGGAAGAGUUCGACUCUCCACUCUUCCUUAGAGAUGUGUCUUCAAAGAACACUCCCCAGUAAAUCUUCUCGGUGCAGUUUUGCAUCUCAGACAAUGUUUCUAGGGAAUACAGACUGGCUUUCAAGUUCUAGAGCCUAGGCUUGUUUCAGAGUUUGGAAGAUGUCAUGGAAUCAUAAGGUUUUGGGGAAAGAGAUCAUGUGUAAGAGUAACAGUAGCUUCCCUCCUAAAGACAAAACAAAAGAAAAAACAAAAUAAAAAAAAAUUAGGAGAAAAAAUUUCCCCAGUGAAUUUUCUUAUAUUAUUUUGCUAUAACCCUCUUUAUCCCUAAUGAUGUUUUUGCUUGAAAACCUACUUUUUCCCCCUGAUGUUAAUAUAACUAUUCCAGUUUUAUUGGCUUUAGUGGUAGGUAGCAUCUGGAAAGUCCAAAACCCUUUAAUGCAUGAGUUUUGUUUUCGUUAAUGUUAAUUUGGGUAGAAAGCUUAUUUUUUGUUACAAAUUUCCAAAGGCGUCUCAGCUCUCAGCCUGGUCUUCUCGGCACCAGCGCAUUUCCUGUGGGCGUGAGUGUGAGGUUGCUUUUCUUACCCCUCAUGGUAGGGCAGGAGUCGUCUGGAGCCCAGGUCUGUGUCAUGGGACCGGGGUUUUUCAUUAAGACCAUGAAAAUAAAAGUUCAUCAAAUCUGCUCUUAAGGCAAAAAUGAUUUCACUACCAUUCUCGCUUCUCCUGUUUUCGACUUUCCCUUAGCUUUGGGGCUGGUAAUUCCUUAUGAUGUCGUAAAGAGGUUUUUAAGAAUUAAAAAAAUUAUUCAUAAUUUGUAGCUGUUUUCAGGGUUUCGUCUGUGCCCAUAACCUGCCAUGUUACUGGAAAUGGAACUCCUAGAGGUACAUUUUUAAAGAAAGAUUGUUGAUAAUGGUGAAAUGUCAUUAACCACUCAUUUUGCAUAUGCACAGAACUUGUUUAGCUAAUGUGAUGUAAAUAUCCACUCUGAUUUUGGCAGGACAGACUAUAGAAUUCUGAAGCUCCAUCAUGUUCCUUUUAAUUAAUUUCAUGAGAGAGAGACAGACAGCGAGAAAGAGACUGAGACCUUUUUAUUGGAUGGAUGCACCCUAGCAAACAAUGUCAACAAAUGAUUUGCAUUAUACAGUUGAGACAAUAAAAUUGAAAAUAAAUAAAGCCGCUUAACUGUUUUGAGGAACAAAUAUGUAAGAUUUGAAUAUUUAUGAUGGUAAAUCAGAUUAAGUUGCCGAACGCUUUUUUCUAAUCUGUCAUCAAUGAUGCGAAGCUUUCAGGAGGAAGUUAAGUUUUGCAGUGUGUUUUGGUUAAAUAUAAAUAAUCACAUUUUCAUGGUUAUAAAAUAAUUCAUUAAAUGAAGGAGGCAGUGAAAACCGCCUUCUCCUGCAGAAACAUAUGGUUAGUGAGGAAGACGUAUGAAAAUGGGGUCAUUGUUCAACAUUUAAAUUAAAUAACAUUUCUAAAGGCUAAGAAGUAAUAGCAGAUUUUAUAUAACUGAUGAUAAAUCUUCAUGUUGAUUUCAAAAGCUGAUGACUGAAAGUAUGUUUCCGCGUUUCAAGAUUUUCCACAAAGAACCUGGAGUUAUUGUGCUUGUUAAAUUCCUCAGGACUGUCCUGUCUGCUUUCAAAGUUCUAGAUAUGGCUUUUGCCUUUGGGGUUCUCUUCUUUUUCACCAAAGUACAAGGUAAGACACUGAGGAUAAUUAGUAUUCCACCCCCCCCCCCCCAGGGAAUAUAAAAGAAAACCCAUCUUUUCCUUAUUCCCCUCUGCUUUGGAUUCUUGAUACUUCCUUUCUUUUUUUUUUUUUUUUAGUCUUUUUAAGGCCACACCCAUGGCAUAUGGAGGUUCCCAGGUUAGGGACUGAAUCAGAGCUCCAGCUCCUGACCUACACCACAGCAACGCAGGAUCCGAGCUGCGUCUGCGACCUACACCACAGCUCAUGGACGUGCCGGAUCCUUAACCCACCGAGCAAGGCCAGGGAUUGAACCCAAGUCCUCGUGGAUACUGGUCGGGUCCGUUAACCGCCGAGCCUCGACAGGAAGUCCCUUGAUACUUCCAUUUUGAGAUGGAUUCUUCACCAAGGACACACUCGGUGGAAGAUAGGAUCUGAGGGAAGGUGAAUAAGUAGAAACUUGGUGAGUACUUGCUAUGCCACCUGGUCGGUGCUGGAAUACACUUCUCUGCCAAGUGACACUUUUAACAAUAUAUCUUUGCUCUCCUCCAAUCCCCAGACCCCUCUCUUUCCUUGCUGGGACCAUAAUGUCUGAAUAAUGCUUUAUAAUGUUCCUAAUAUGUUAUAGACAUUUUGUCAGAUUAUUUUUAGGCGCCUCGCAUUUUGUUGUUUCUAAAGAAGAUAAGAUAGCAUAAUUUUUUUUUGCUAGUAUUAGGUUUUUUUUUUUUUUUUAUGGCCACACCCAUGGCAUAUGGAAGAUCCCUGGGCCAGGGGUUGAAUUUGAGCCACAAAUGCAACAUGCACUGCAGCAAUGCUGGAUCUUUAACACACUGCGUUGGGCCAGGUAUCAAACCCACGCCUCUGCAGCAACCCAAGCCACACAGUCAGAUACUUCACCCACUGUGCCACUGUGGGAGCUCCACUAGUACUGAUUUUAAAAGUGGUUUUGUAUUCCAACAGCCUCAUAGCAAAUGAUAUAUUUCAGAUUUUCUGGGAUUUUUUCCUAACAUCUUGCCUACUGCUUUCCACUCAUUACAUUUCUUUUCAAAAAUGUAUGCAUAGUUAAAAAAUACAUCUUUGUAUUAAUAAUAAUCAUUCAAGCAUAUAGAGGGUUUUUUAGGUGUUACUCUUCUAGCACUUUGUAUGUAUUAACUCCUUUUAUCCUCAUGACAGGUCUAUGAGGUAAGUAAUAUUAUUGUUCCUGUUUUAUUGGUAGUGUUAGAAAAAAAAUUAUUCUGACACUUGUUAAAAUGGUUAAUUUGGGACUAUUGCAGUAGGUGUCAAGACCAUCACAACAGUUGGGAGAAAUCGGAAUCAAUUCCAAAUGUAACAAGAACAAGCAGGGAUUCAUAGCCAGGAGCGGAAUGAAGAGGAGUCUGUGGAUGGACAAUUACUAGGAGGACACACCAAGGGUCAGAGGAUUCCUGCUGACCUGACUUAACAGGAUUCUCGCUGAAGGCCAGUCAAAGGAAAAGAGAAGUUGAUGACCAAGUAUUUUUGUGACUGCAAAACACUAAACUAUCAUCACCCAUUGAUUAGAAAGGGCGUAUCUGCGCUGUGCACCUGGCAGCGUUCAAGGAAGCUGGCCGUUUCCCCUUUGAGCUGCCUUCCCCUGGGGCUGAGACUCUCCCGGGGCCUGAUUCCUGUCAUUCUGACAAUGUCCCACUCCGAUUUGGCAGCUGGGAUUCCUGUAAAGGGGCUCCAUCGUAUGAGGUCCCAUGAUCUGGUCUUGUUUGUUCAAAAAGAAAAACAAAAGGAAAAGAAACUCCCUUUGCAGAAGAAAAUCACGACGAGGCACAGACUCCAGAAGCCCUCGGCACAGCAGACACUUCCGUCUCCGUUUAGAGGCACAGAGACCAGGCGUCUUUCCUCCCUCUGCCUUGCUUAUGCUUGCCGGUGGCUGGAAUACAGUUCCUGGAAGCUGCGAUGAUGGGGGGGUGGGGGGAGAAAUCCUCAGGAUCUGAAUACCUGCCCCCGUGAGCCUUCUCCUGAUUGCUUUUCUGAUGAUAACGUCAUCGCAGUAUCAGUGUGUUUUAAUGGGGACAGUUGUCUUCGCAUUGUUUGUCUGCAUCACAAAUCCGAAGGGGAAACACAGGAACGGAAAGGCCCGUGUCUUCACGAUGUGCCUGGAGGCACAACCAAGGGGUGCAUUCUCUUCAGAUGCUUUCUGAUUUUUGCUCCAGGACUUUCAGAGUACAAAUAGGAUGCCUCCUUUUUCUUGGCCAAGGGCUGCUGGUGGGACCCCUCCGUGGGCUGGUUUUAUGGAUUCAAAAGGCGACUCUGGGCUUGGAUGUAUUGACACAUUAGUCUUUAAAGAAUUUAGUCUUUGGUACUAAAGAAUAAUGUAAUGCAGGUUUAAUUAAAGUGGAAGCUUAAAGCUGAUGUUAAUUUAGUGGUACAGCCAUCUCUCAGUCAUCCUGGACGUUGAAAGAGGCUGUGGUCUGGAUAAUCCGAAUUAAUGGAUAGCCCAGAAUACAUGAUAUUUCCUCCCCUAAAUUCAUCAGGAUUGCUGUUCUAAUUUUCCUACUGGGGGCUAAUGCUGAAGUCAUCAUGAGAGUUGAUUUUGAGGAAAGCAAGACCCUGGCCUGGAGAAGAGAGGCCGUGGCCUUUGAGGCAUGCAUUCAGCACCUCACCGCCUCAGCUUUCUGAAACGUCGCAAAUAAUUGGGAGGAAGGUACCACUCACCGUAACAUAGAUGAGGAAACAGACACAGAGUUGAAAGACUGUUCAAGGUCAUUGACCAGAAAUUAGUAGAACAAAUGGUUCUAUGUCUCUCAGUCCAACUCACGUGUUGAGCAGAAGGAAAAAAACCCCUGUUUUCAGGUAAACACAAAUUGUAAUGUUUUUUUUAACCUGUGAGAAAAUGGUGCAGAUUCUCUUCU
rnacentral:lncRNA from 9 species